rnacentral:rRNA from 1 species
CCUCGUACCUUUUGCAUCAUGGUCUAACUAGUAUAAUCAAGCAAAAUGAAACUUAAGUUUGACCCCCCGAAACUAAGCGAGCUACUUCAAAAUAGCCUUACGGGCUAACCCAUCUCUGUCGCAAAAGAGUGGGAUGAUUUUCAAGUAGGGGUGACACACCUACCGAGCCUAGAGAUAGCUGGUUAUUCAGGAAAAGGAUCCAGUCCAAUUUUAAACCUUUUUAUACCGCUAAAUAUACUAAUAGCUUUAAAAUUUAUUCAAAUAAGGUACAGCCUAUUUGAAACAGGAUACAACCUAUUUAGCAGGGUAAUGGUCCGCCUGUCCGACUAAGUAGGCCUAAAAGCAGCCACCUUAUAAAAAGCGUCAUAGCUUUAUCGCACGCAAUCAUUAAUUUAUACCAAAACCCAAAACCCUUCUCUACUACUGAAUGACUCCAUAUUCAUAUGGAAGACCUAAUGUUAGAACUAGUAAUAAGAAUUUAUUCUCUACAAAGCAUGCUUAAGCCAGAAUGAACCGCUCACUGGCACUCACCGCCAAUGAAUAAACAGUAGUAACUUCACAAGAAAACCCUACUCACCUAAACGUUAAUGAUACACCAAGGCUUUUUUAGAAAGAUUAAAAAAGGAGGAAGGAACUCGGCAAAAAAUAACUUCGCCUGU